rnacentral:rRNA from 1 species
ACUCCGGUUGAUCCUGCCGGACCCCACUGCUCUCGGGGUAAGGCUAAGCCAUGCAAGUCGGAGGUCUCCGGGAAUCCGGGGGCCUGGCGUACGGCUGAGUAACGCGUGGCUAACCUGCCCUGCGGAGGAGGACAACCCCGGGAAACUGGGGAUAAACCUCCAUAGGCGAGUGGCUCUGGAACGACCAUUCGCCCAAAUCCCUGCAUGGGGAUCCUCCAUGCAGGGGCCGCAGGAUGGGGCUGCGUCCUAUCAGGUAGUUGGUGGGGUAACGGCCCACCAA